rnacentral:rRNA from 1 species
UACCAGCACCCCAAGUGGUCGGGACGUUUAUUGGGCCUAAAGCAUCCGUAGCCGGUUCUACAAGUCUUCCGUUAAAUCCACCUGCUUAACAGAUGGGCUGCGGAAGAUACUAUAGAGCUAGGAGGCGGGAGAGGCAAGCGGUACUCAGUGGGUAGGGGUAAAAUCCGUUGAUCCAUUGAAGACCACCAGUGGCGAAGGCGGCUUGCCAGAAUGCGCUCGACGGUGAGGGAUGAAAGCUGGGGGAGCAAACCGG